rnacentral:rRNA from 1 species
UACGGGGGGCGGGAAGCAGUUGUUCGGUGAAUUACUGGGCGUAAGGGGCUCGUAGGCGGCCAACUAAGUCGGACGUGAAAUCCCUCGGCUUAACCGGGGAACUGCGUCCGAUACUGGAUGGCUUGAGUUCGGGAGAGGGAUGCGGAAUUCCAGGUGUAGCGGUGAAUGCGUAGAUAUCUGGAGGAACACCGGUGGCGAAGGCGGGUCUCUGGGCCGAUACUGACGCUGAGGAGCGAAAGCGUGGGGAGCGAACAGG